ensembl:snRNA U6 U6 spliceosomal RNA
GUGCUCGCUUCGGCAGCACAUAUACUAAAAUUGGAACGAUGCAGCAUGGCCCCUGCGCAACGAUGACAUACAAAUUCGUGAAGCAUUCCAUAUUUUU